UUUCUUCGUAUCAUCUUCCCCUGCGGAACCUCUUUCCCACACAACGCCUUCUUACGGUUUAUCUCAACCAGGAGUCUGAAUGGCUGCCGAUGAUGCUGGAAAAAGCUAAGUCAAAAUACGUUAUGAGCAGUUGUUGAUCUAAUUUUGUACAAGUUCAUGAAGCAGUUGAUCAUCAUCUCCUAUAUCAUUUGUGCACGCCUGACUGUUCUUCAAGCUUAUUCUAAUGCAUCAUGCACGGCAUAUAUGUCUUCUUCUUUAAAUUUAUCUGGUUCUGAAUUAAAUGUGUAAAACUUCUAAAUCUGAUUUAAAAUUUGCUGAUACGUGUGUAAAAAUGCCCAAUGAUGGAAAACAUAUGAUAAUUGAGAGGUUUUCUGGUGUUGCUUUUUGUCUUUUCUCGUUCAUUGCCACGAACCAUAAAUAUUUUUUCAUCACAUGCACACACUAUAACACCAAAUGAAUUUUCUUUUGUGGCAAUGUUUAACGGCUCUCGACAAAUUGCUGCUAUCGGAUGUAAAUCCUUCUAUGAUUUAAUAAGCUAUGAGAUCUGAGGGCUAGUUUUGCUGUUACUUAUUUCAUAUUUUCUUAGUGAUGUGUAGUAUUUGUUUUGCUUAUUUCAUAUUAUUAUUUUUUUCUAAUUCAAACUAAGUUCGAAAUGCUUUGGAGUUUGAAUUUGUGAACAGGGAUUCAAGUUUUGAAUACAAAAGUUCAUAGAAACCAAUAAAAUGAAAGCACAUUCGAAGGUUUGGCAAGCUCUAUAUGAUCGAUGCUUGUUGAGCUCAAAAAUGGUGCAAGAUUCUACGUUGUCAAUUUUGUUAAAUGUUCACUGGCCCACUGUGCUGGAUGAUUUCUAAAGUUGACGAAAAUUCCAUCAAAAUCAACUCUCUUUAUUAUUGAAAUUCCGUCAAAACCACAUUAUUGGUUUGAGCUUGGACUCCAAAGUUUAAAAGUUGCCGAAGGUUGCAGGUUCAAAUACAAGGAUGAAUAAGAAUCUCCCUCCAUGUGUCCACAGAGGUUUAAAUGCGCCGACUGACUCUGGGUUACUUUGGAUCACUUGUAUAGCAGGUUGGAUAUAAAAGUUUUUUCAUAAUUACCAGUUAUGUUCAGUGUUUACAAAAACCAGAUGAAGACGCAAGGUGCUUAAAGCUAUCUCGUGGGUUAUUGAUAUCUCUAAAUUACAUGAAUUCCAACCAUCAAGUGAUUCAUCUGUAAUUGCUAAGAUUUUGUGUUGUUUAAUUGAAUAAAGGAUUCUAAGCAGUAUUUUAAUUGGAUUUUUUGCAGAUUAUU